rnacentral:rRNA from 1 species
CACGUAGGCGGAUUUCUAAGUCAGGGGUGAAAUCCUGGAGCUCAACUCCAGAACUGCCUUUGAUACUGGGAAUCUCGAGUCCGGGAGAGGUGAGUGGAACUGCGAGUGUAGAGGUGAAAUUCGUAGAUAUUCGCAAGAACACCAGUGGCGAAGGCGGCUCACUGGCCCGGUACUGACGCUGAGGUGCGAAAGCGUGGGGAGCUAAACAGGAUUAGAUACCCUGGUAGUCCACGCCGUAAACGAUGGAUGCUAGCCGUUGGUGGGUUUACCCUUCAGUGGCGCAGCUAACGCAUUAAGCAUCCCGCCUGGGGAGUACGGUCGCAAGAUUAAA